rnacentral:rRNA from 1 species
GGGACACGUGGUAUCCUGUCUGAAUAUGGGGGGACCAUCCUCCAAGGCUAAAUACUCCUGACUGACCGAUAGUGAACCAGUACCGUGAGGGAAAGGCGAAAAGAACCCCGGCGAGGGGAGUGAAAAAGAACCUGAAACCGUGUACGUACAAGCAGUGGGAGCACGCUUAGGCGUGUGACUGCGUACCUUUUGUAUAAUGGGUCAGCGACUUAUAUUCUGUAGCAAGGUUAACCGAAUAGGGGAGCCGAAGGGAAACCGAGUCUUAACUGGGCGUUAAGUUGCAGGGUAUAGACCCGAAACCCGGUGAUCUAGCCAUGGGCAGGUUGAAGGUUGGGUAACACUAACUGGAGGACCGAACCGACUAAUGUUGAAAAAUUAGCGGAUGACUUGUGGCUGGGGGUGAAAGGCCAAUCAAACCGGGAGAUAGCUGGUUCUCCCCGAAAGCUAUUUAGGUAGCGCCUCGUGAAUUCAUCUCCGGGGGUAGAGCACUGUUUCGGCAAGGGGGUCAUCCCGACUUACCAACCCGAUGCAAACUGCGAAUACCGGAGAAUGUUAUCACGGGAGACACACGGCGGGUGCUAACGUCCGUCGUGAAGAGGGAAACAACCCAGACCGCCAGCUAAGGUCCCAAAGUCAUGGUUAAGUGGGAAACGAUGUGGGAAGGCCCAGACAGCCAGGAUGUUGGCUUAGAAGCAGCCAUCAUUUAAAGAAAGCGUAAUAGCUCACUGGUCGAGUCGGCCUGCGCGGAAGAUGUAACGGGGCUAAACCAUGCACCGAAGCUGCGGCAGCGACACUAUGUGUUGUUGGGUAGGGGAGCGUUCUGUAAGCCUGUGAAGGUGUGCUGUGAGGCAUGCUGGAGGUAUCAGAAGUGCGAAUGCUGACAUAAGUAACGAUAAAGCGGGUGAAAAGCCCGCUCGCCGGAAGACCAAGGGUUCCUGUCCAACGUUAAUCGGGGCAGGGUGAGUCGACCCCUAAGGCGAGGCCGAAAGGCGUAGUCGAUGGGAAACAGGUUAAUAUUCCUGUACUUGGUGUUACUGCGAAGGGGGGACGGAGAAGGCUAUGUUGGCCGGGCGACGGUUGUCCCGGUUUAAGCGUGUAGGCUGGUUUUCCAGGCAAAUCCGGAAAAUCAAGGCUGAGGCGUGAUGACGAGGCACUACGGUGCUGAAGCAACAAAUGCCCUGCUUCCAGGAAAAGCCUCUAAGCAUCAGGUAACAUCAAAUCGUACCCCAAACCGACACAGGUGGUCAGGUAGAGAAUACCAAGGCGCUUGAGAGAACUCGGGUGAAGGAACUAGGCAAAAUGGUGCCGUAACUUCGGGAGAAGGCACGCUGAUAUGUAGGUGAAGUCCCUCGCGGAUGGAGCUGAAAUCAGUCGAAGAUACCAGCUGGCUGCAACUGUUUAUUAAAAACACAGCACUGUGCAAACACGAAAGUGGACGUAUACGGUGUGACGCCUGCCCGGUGCCGGAAGGUUAAUUGAUGGGGUUAGCCGCAAGGCGAAGCUCUUGAUCGAAGCCCCGGUAAACGGCGGCCGUAACUAUAACGGUCCUAAGGUAGCGAAAUUCCUUGUCGGGUAAGUUCCGACCUGCACGAAUGGCGUAAUGAUGGCCAGGCUGUCUCCACCCGAGACUCAGUGAAAUUGAACUCGCUGUGAAGAUGCAGUGUACCCGCGGCAAGACGGAAAGACCCCGUGAACCUUUACUAUAGCUUGACACUGAACAUUGAGCCUUGAUGUGUAGGAUAGGUGGGAGGCUUAGAAGUGUGGACGCCAGUCUGCAUGGAGCCGACCUUGAAAUACCACCCUUUAAUGUUUGAUGUUCUAACGUUGACCCGU